rnacentral:rRNA from 1 species
CCCUUAGAUGUUCUGGGCCGCACGCGCGCUACACUGAUGCAUUCAACGAGUCUAAAACCUGCUCUGAUAGGGGUGGGUAAUCUUUUGAAUGUGCAUCGUGAUUGGGAUAGAUGAUUGCAAUUUUUCAUCUUCAACGAGGAAUGCCUAGUAAACGCAAGUCAUCAGCUUGCAUUGAUUACGUCCCUGCCCUUUGUACACACCUCCCGUCGCUCCUACCGAUUGAAUGAUCCGAUGAAUAUCAUGGAUUGAGGAUGCAAGUAGGUUCGCCUAUCUUCAUCUUCGAGAAGUGAAGUAAAUCUUAUCAUUUAGAGGAAGGAGAAGUCGUAACA